ensembl:lncRNA
GUGAAUUUCUUUGUUAAGUGCUAUGUGUGUUCACUGUAGAAUUGGUAUCUGGAGGAAAGAGUGUUAAAUUAAGCCUUGGAUAUAAAACUUGGGGUCCUCCUUUCCCACUAAUGAACAGCCAUCAUGAAUUUAGUUUGAAUAUGAAUUGUGUUUGUGUGUUGUUUUUAAAAUAUAUUGGGGUUAGGUCUAGCCUGACCUUUACAUUUUCUUAGCAAUUGUGAAUAAGUGGCUAGACUAGACUAACAAUAUUUAAGGGAGCAGUUAACUAUAAUUCCAGUCUGGUACCCCUCUCUCAAAUCUCAAAAAAAAAAAGAGAGUGGCCAAGCUUUUGAUCCUGACCUCCUGGCAAGAAAUAAAGCCUUCCAUGGAAGAGGGUGGGACAGAGGAAAAGCUAGAGAUACCAAUUCUGCCUCCCUUCAAGCCACAUAAUAAUCCCAUGUUACAUGCUAUAUAUGGAAGGUCAGCCUUCACUUCAGGCCCCAGUUAGUUGGCCUUUGCACUGAGGGAAUUGUAUCCUCCUGUAGUUAUAUAUUAAAAUUCUUGUGGGUGGACACCUGAGAAGGAGAUUGGAAAGUGAGGGAAAAUGGAUAGAGAGGGGAAAGAGAGAGAGAGAGAGAGAGAGAGAGAGAGAGAGAGAGAGAGAGAGAGAGAGAGAGAGAGAGAGAGAGAGAGAGAGAGAGAGAGGGAGGGAGGGAGAGAGAGGGGAGAGAGAGAGAGAGAGAGAGAGAGAGAGGGAGAGGGAGAGAGAGAGAGAGACAGAGACAGAGACAGAGACAGAGAGAGAGACAGACAGAGACAGAGACAGAGAGACAGAGAGAGAGAGAGAGAGAGAGAGAGAGAGAGAGAGAGAGAGAGAGAGAGAAAGGGGAGAGAAGGGAAUAGGGCUUAAAUACCCCCUCUGUUUAGGCUGGGCCAAAAGGCCCAAGCCCUUAGAUAGCUGGGGCAAAGAAAGGAGAUCAGUCCCUAUUACUCACGUGACCAAAAUGGAGAAACAGUCUCAGAGGCCCCCACCUCCAGCUUCCUUCAGAGCAAGCUUCUCAGAGAACCUCUCCAACCACUCAGAGCCAAAACUCUCCAACCACCCUUCAGUCCUCAGACCCCUCUAUCUUUAAGGAAACCAUCCAAGUUCCCUCCCCUCAGUUCUCACAUCUACCAAUCACUGUCCAUCAUUUUCCCUGUGCCAAUGGUGGCUCUAGCUUAACCCAGGACCGCCCAGAGGUCUGUGGCUUUGCACAUGUCUGUUGGAGGUCAUAUUCUCAAAUAAUUAAAUCUUGAUCUUUUGCUACAGCCCUUCCUAAAUCCUGUUACCCUGAGUAGGGUAGAGAUUGGAAUAAUUAAAUUUUGAUCUAUGCUGCAGCCCUUCCUAAAUCCUGUUAGGACUGAGUAGGGUGGAGAUUGCAAUUUCCAAGACUUGGUUCUGUCAUUCCAAGUAUCUCCAUUGUAUCAAUUCUAAAAUCAAUCAUGACUCAAAGAAAUUCCUGUUCUAUGCUUAAACAUAGGUCAAAGUCCUUUCCAUUGUUCAGCAAAAGGUUUCUGUCCUAAAGUAAUCUUAAGAAGGGAGGAGGAGGAACCUCCCAUGCCAAUGGGGUUCACAUUCCAAUAGCCAAGACCCACUAUCAAUAGGAAAUUUUUCAAGUAUGAAAUUUCCCAAUGGUGAAAUUUCCAACAUUUAUAAGUCUAAGAAAUUUUAAGGUUUACAAGACACACUUGGAGUGAAGAGACACAUUUGGAGUGGAACCUCCUAUAAGAAGCAGUUCUACUGGAGUUGAAGUUGAUAAAGAAUCUGCUGAUUGAACUGGCAAGUGUAAAGGCUGACUUUAGUAAUUCAUUUUGGAGAUUUAGUAAUUAAAUCCCUGGUGACCAAUUAAAGAUAUUCAGUCCAACCAUAAAUUUAACAAAUACUAUAAAAGUUUCAGUCCUUUACACUAUAAUUUGCAGAGCAUGUGCUAAUCUGCCUUGAUAGAGAGAAUUUCUUUCUCAGAUAUUUCCUAUAUCAAUGAAAUCAUAAGUGUCACUAAAACAAACAAACAAAAAACCCCAAAGCAAUAAAGAUACCAAUACAGGGGCA